GACGAACGCUGGCGGCGUGCCCAAUACAUGCAGGUAGAACGCUGAAGAGAAGAGCUUGCUCUUCUUGGAUGAGUUGCGAACGGGCGAGUAACGCGUAGGUAACCUGCCUGGUAGCGGGGGAUAACUAUUGGAAACGAUAGCUAAUACCGCAUAAAAUUGAUUAUUGCAUGAUAAUUAAUUGAAAGAUGCAAUUGCAUUACUACCAGAUGGACCUGCGUUGUAUUAGCUAGUUGGUGAGGUAACGGCUCACCAAGGCGACGAUACAUAGCCGACCUGAGAGGGUGAUCGGCCACACUGGGACUGAGACACGGCCCAGACUCCUACGGGAGGCAGCAGCAGGGAAUCUUCGGCAAUGGGGGGAACCCUGACCGAGCAACGCCGCGUGAGUGAAGAAGGUUUUCGGAUCGUAAAGCUCUGUUGUAAGAGAAGAACGGGUGUGAGAGUGGAAAGUUCACACUGUGACG
rnacentral:rRNA from 1 species